GAUGAACGCUGGCGGCGUGCUUAACACAUGCAAGUCGAACGGUGAACGAGGGAGCUUGCUCCCUCCGGAUCAGUGGCGAACGGGUGAGUAACACGUGAGCAAUCUGCCCUGGACUCUGGGAUAAGCGUUGGAAACGACGUCUAAUACCGGAUACGAGGCGUGGGGGCAUCCCCGACGCCUGGAAAGAACUUCGGUCCAGGAUGAGCUCGCGGCCUAUCAGCUUGUUGGUGAGGUAACGGCUCACCAAGGCGACGACGGGUAGCCGGCCUGAGAGGGUGACCGGCCACACUGGGACUGAGACACGGCCCAGACUCCUACGGGAGGCAGCAGUGGGGAAUAUUGCACAAUGGACGCAAGCCUGAUGCAGCAACGCCGCGUGAGGGACGACGGCCUUCGGGUUGUAAACCUCUUUUAGCAGGGAAGAAGCGAAAGUGACGGUACCUGCAGAAAAAGCACCGGCUAACUACGUGCCAGCAGCCGCAGUAACAC
rnacentral:rRNA from 1 species